GCCAGCAUUUCGGAUGGGAACUUUAAGGAUACUGCCAGUGACAAACUGGAGGAAGGCGGGGACGACGUCAAGUCAUCAUGGCCCUUACGGCCAGGGCUACACACGUGCUACAAUGGUCGGUACAAAGGGUUGCUACACAGCGAUGUGAUGCUAAUCUCAAAAAGCCGAUCGUAGUCCGGAUUGGAGUCUGCAACUCGACUCCAUGAAGUCGGAAUCGCUAGUAAUCGCGAAUCAGAAUGCCGCGGUGAAUACGUUCCCGGGCCUUGUACACACCGCCCGUCACACCAUGGGAGUUUGUUGCACCAGAAGUAGCUAGCCUAACUGCAAAGAGGGCGGUUACCACGGUGUGGCCGAUGACUGGGGUG
rnacentral:rRNA from 1 species